AGCAGUAGCCGCGGUAAUACGGAGGGUGCAAGCGUUAAUCGGAAUUACUGGGCGUAAAGCGUGCGUAGGUGGUGGUUUAAGUCCGUUGUGAAAGCCCUGGGCUCAACCUGGGAAUUGCAGUGGAUACUGGGUCACUAGAGUGUGGUAGAGGAUAGUGGAAUUUCCGGUGUAGCAGUGAAAUGCGUAGAGAUCGGAAGGAACAUCUGUGGCGAAGGCGACUAUCUGGGCCAACACUGACACUGAGGCACGAAAGCGUGGGGAGCAAACAGGAUUAGAUACCCCGGUAGUCCCUGUCUCUUAUAA
rnacentral:rRNA from 1 species